rnacentral:rRNA from 1 species
UACAGAGGGUGCGAGCGUUAAUCGGAAUUACUGGGCGUAAAGCGCACGUAGGUGGCGACGUAAGUCGGGUGUGAAAGCCCCGGGCUCAACCUGGGAAUUGCAUUCGAGACUGAAUAGCUAGGGUACGGUAGAGGGAAGCGGAAUUUCCGGUGUAGCGGUGAAAUGCGUAGAUAUCGGAAGGAACAUCAGUGGCGAAAGCGGCUUCCUGGACCAGUACCGACGUUCAGGCACGAAAGCGUGGGGAGCAAACAGG